UGGGGAAUAUUGCACAAUGGGCGCAAGCCUGAUGCAGCCAUGCCGCGUGUGUGAAGAAGGCCUUCGGGUUGUAAAGUACUUUCAGCGGGGAGGAAGGCGAUAAGGUUAAUAACCUUGUCGAUUGACGUUACCCGCAGAAGAAGCACCGGCUAACUCCGUGCCAGCAGCCGCGGUAAUACGGAGGGUGCAAGCGUUAAUCGGAAUUACUGGGCGUAAAGCGCACGCAGGCGGUCUGUCAAGUCGGAUGUGAAAUCCCCGGGCUCAACCUGGGAACUGCAUUCGAAACUGGCAGGCUAGAGUCUUGUAGAGGGGGGUAGAAUUCCAGGUGUAGCGGUGAAAUGCGUAGAGAUCUGGAGGAAUACCGGUGGCGAAGGCGGCCCCCUGGACAAAGACUGACGCUCAGGUGCGAAAGCGUGGGGAGCAAACA
rnacentral:rRNA from 1 species